GUGCUCGCUUAGGCAGCAUAUACACAAAAAUUGGAAUGACACAGAUAAGAUUAGCAUGGCCCCUGCGCCAGGAUGACACAUUUUAAUAAGGAAAAAAUAAAUAAAUAA